rnacentral:rRNA from 1 species
UCCCAGUUCGGAUUGUAGUCUGCAACCCGACUACAUGAAGCUGGAAUCGCUAGUAAUCGCGGAUCAGAAUGCCGCGGUGAAUACGUUCCCGGGUCUUGUACACACCGCCCGUCACACCAUGGGAGUCGGAAAUGCCCGAAGUCUGUGACCCAACCUACGGGAGGGAGCAGCCGAAGGCAGGUCGGAUGACUGGGGUGAAGUCGUAACAAGGUAGC